UCAGAUAGUGACCAUGGCUUAUAUCCGUGUCUCGUCGUUGGAGCUCAAUGACUCUCAAUUUAAUCUAUGCUUAAGGGGAAAGGAAAGUGAGCUUGGUUUAUGAUGAUGGCUGAUGAAAAGGAUGAAAUUGAAUCUUUCUAAAACUUCUAUGCCGGUGAAUCUGGACAUAUUUGGUAGACUAACCUGCAUAUCGUCUAGUAUUUAGUCCCAGGCUUCAGAGUUCUGAAAUUUGUGAGGUAAUUUUUCAAUAAUUUUUCUUUGGAUAAUUCUUUUCUUCAGUUUGCAAUCAGCAUCUGUCUCGAGGAAUCCAUUGUUUGCUUGCUGUUGAAAAGUUAUCUUCCUCUUUCUCAUUUCUUUGUAUAAUUCCAUUCAUUCAUCUGCAUCUCAGGAAUAUGGUAACAGGCAUAAUCUAACACAGUAAUUGUCAGAUCACCAUUUGAGUAUCCCCUCAUAAUUGCAUGAACGAAGAUAUUGUUAAUAAAAUCUUAAACAAAUGAACACCACUUUGUACUUUUUUGGAUGCAAGUUUUCUGACAUAAGCUUUUAACUUUUAACUAUAUUUGAUGUUUUUUGAAACUUUAAAGUCCAUUUUGAAGAUCACAUUCAUGCAGUAUCUUUUGGCCUGUACAUCACCAUUAAUUCAUAAAUGUCCAAUCUAAUUUGCUCCCCUAUUUUUUUUUUAUGUGGUUCAAGAACUUGAUUUUGUGAACCAUUGCGCCCAGAAUUCUUUACUGUAUUUGUUUUGCUCCCCACCAUUCUUAGUUUACUAUCAAGGGAAGAAUCAAGGUCUUGUACAGAGAACUUGUUUGUUCUCGUGCUAAUCUAUACUGUUAAUGGAAUAAAAUUCCUUUGGGGUGGGGAAAAUUUUGUAGACUUCCGGUACAGUGACUUGUGGUCUUUGGUGUUGAAUAAUUUGCCUUACGAAAUUCAGCAUGUAAAUGACACUGAUUUCCUUGUUAUCUGACAUCCGUUAAAUAUCUUUGUUUUGUGUUCUUCUAUUUUUCUCUUCUUUUUGGCUUUACCAUGGUAAUAAUGUCAUUUUGUGUAUAUUUGAUAUUUAUUUAGAAUGCAUUUGAUUAUAUUUUUUGAUUUUUAAUUUUUAAAAAUUAUUUUUUUAUUUUUAUUAUUAAAUAAAAUAAAAAAUAAAAAAUAUAUUUGAUAACUAUGUUGCUAUAAAGCAAAAAGCAAUAUUUGGGAACGGCAAGUGAAGAGUUCGAUGAGAGAGAAAGAUUCAAGAAGAGAGAGAGAGAAGGGGAUAGAGAGAUGAAGAGCUUGAUGAGGAAGAAGGGUUCGGGCUUUUUAUUUUUUACUUUGAUAUUUUAGAUGUAUAAAAUUAAAAAAUAAAAAAAUAAAUUUUAAAAAAUAAAAUUUUUUAUUUUAUAUAUAAAGUAAUUAUUUUAAUUUUUACUUUUUACUUUUCAUGAUGUUACUAAAUAUUAUUUUUUAAUUUUUAUUUUUAAAAAUUUAAAAUAAAAAAAUAUUUUUUUAAUGACUAACCAAAUGCAUCCUUAAUUUCUUUUUGUUAAGGUCUUUUUGCACCACUAAAGCAGUGAGCAUCAUAGGCAUCAAAAGACAAUACGGAGUACCUUAUUUUUACUAGUCGCGCGCUACUGCUUCCGCUCAAAAAGCAUUUCAGUUUCAUAGUAUUUUUGUUGUUCGUCAAUAAGAAUGGGGAUUUCUACCAUGAAAAAAAACUAUCAAAAAAAUAAGAAUGGGGAAUGGAUUGAAGCGUGCAACCGCAAAAUAUUGACCAUGCUACAUAUUUUAUGAAACUGGCUGCUGAACUUUGAUAUUUUUAGGUUGCUACCAUCUACAUUUUAAUGUUGUCUGAUUCUUUUUCUUAGCUAGCAUUAUUUCUAAUUGUAGUACAGACCUUCUCCAUUCAAUGGAUUGUUUAAUUGUAUUCUCCAUCUUAAGGGCUUAUUGAAUUUCUUUAUGCC
rnacentral:lncRNA from 1 species